GCGCCCGUAGCUCAACCGGAUAGAGCACCGGCCUUCUAAGCCGGGGGUUGCAGAUUCAAGUUCUGCCGGGCGCGCCA
rnacentral:tRNA from 1 species